rnacentral:rRNA from 1 species
GACGAACGCUGGCGGCGUGCCUAAUACAUGCAAGUAGAACGCAGUUGCGAACGGGUGAGUAACGCGUAGGUAACUGCCUCAUAGCGGGGGAUAACUAUUGGAAACGAUAGCUAAUAACGCAUACUGUUAGAUGGAUCUGAGUUGUAGUCGCUAGUUGGUGAGGUAAAGGCUCAACAAGGCGUCGAGACAUAGCCGACCUGAGAGGGUGAUCGUCGACGCUGGGACUGAGACACGGCCCGGACGCCUACGGGAGGCAGCAGUAGGGAAUCGUGGGCAAUGGACGGAAGUCUGACCAAGCAACGCCGCGUGAGUGAAGAAGGCUUUCGGAUCGGAAAGCUGUGUUGUUAGAGAAGCGGUACCUAACCAGAAAGGGACGGCUAACUACGUGCCAGCAGCCGCGGUAAUAC